ensembl:snRNA U6 U6 spliceosomal RNA
GUGCUCUCUUUGGCAGCACAUAUACGAAAAUUGGAAUGAUAGAGAAAAGAUUAGCACAGCCCCUGUGCAAGGGUGACAUGCAAAUUCGUGAAAUGUUCAACAUUUUU